rnacentral:misc_RNA from 1 species
AACGCACAUUGCGCCCUUUGGCAUUCCGAAGGGCAUGCCCGUUCGAGCGUCAUUACACCAAUCAAGCCUGGCUUGGUAUUGGGCGUCGGGAGACCCCGUGCCCCUAAUUCAUCGGCUGGACGGUUUAAAUCUCAGCGUUGUGGUCAUUCAAUUCGCUGGCGAGGAACACUGGACGCGCCGUUAAACCUUUAUUUACAGGUUGACCUCGGAUCGGGUAGGGAUACCCGCUGAACUUAA